rnacentral:lncRNA from 1 species
CCGUCCCUGGGAUCUUCAACAUCCAUAGAUGGUGGACUAAACACAGGUGCGAACCCACGCGACGCCGGCAGGUCCAGGCACAGGUGCAAACCCACGCGACGCUGGGUACAGGUGCAAACCUACACAACGCCAGAAGGUCCAGGCACAGGGGCAAACCCACGCAACGCUGGGUACAGGUGCAAACCUACACAACGCCAGAAGGUCCAGGCACAGGGGCAAACCCACGCAACGCUGGCAGGUCCAGGCACAGGUGCAAACCCAUGCGACGCCGGCAGGUCCAGGCACAGGUGCAAACCCACGUGACGCUGGGUACAGGUGCAAACCUACACAACGCCAGAAGGUCCAGGCACAGGGGCAAACCCAUGCAACGCUGGCAGGUCCAGGCACAGGUGCAAACCUACACGAUGCUGGACACAGGUGCAAACCUAUGUGUCACCGGCAGGUCCGGGUACAGGUGCA